AGUGUUUCAUGAUGGCUCAGAUUGAACGCUGGCGGCAUGCCUCAUACAUGCGAGUCGAACGGUAACAUAGGAGCUUGCUCCUGAUGACGAGUGGCGGACGGGUGAGUAAUGCAUAAGAAUCUGCCUAUUAGCGGGGGACAACGUGUGGAAACGCACGCUAAUACCGCAUACAUCCUACGGGGAAAAGGUUGCCUCUUCAUGAAAGCAAUCGCUAAUAGAUGAGCUUAUGUCAGAUUAGCUAGUUGGUAGGGUAAGAGCCUACCAAGGCGACGAUCUGUAGCCGGCCUGAGAGGGUGAACGGCCACACUGGGACUGAGACACGGCCCAGACUCCUACGGGAGGCAGCAGUAGGGAAUAUUGGACAAUGGGGGCAACCCUGAUCCAGCAAUGCCGCGUGUGUGAAGAAGGCCUGCGGGUUGUAAAGCACUUUCAGUAGGGAGGAAAUACUUAAAGUUAAUAGCUUUAAGAGUUGACGUUACCUACAGAAGAAGCACCGGCUAACUCUGUGCCAGCAGCCGCGGUAAUACAGAGGGUGCGAGCGUUAAUCGGAAUUACUGGGCGUAAAGGGUACGUACGCGGCUACUUAAGUCUGAUGUGAAAUCCCCGUGCUUAA
rnacentral:rRNA from 1 species